GACGAACGCUGGCGGCGUGCUUAACACAUGCAAGUCGAACGGAAAGACCCUGCUUUUGUGGGGUGCUCGAGUGGCGAACGGGUGAGUAACACGUGAGUAACCUGCCCUUGACUUUGGGAUAACUUCAGGAAACUGGGGCUAAUACCGGAUAGGAGCUCCUGCUGCAUGGUGGGGGUUGGAAAGUUUCGGCGGUUGGGGAUGGACUCGCGGCUUAUCAGCUUGUUGGUGGGGUAGUGGCUUACCCAGUCUUUGACGGGUAGCCGGCCUGAGAGGGUGGCCGGCCACAUUGGGACUGAGAUACGGACCAGACUCCUACGGGAGGCAACAGUGGAGAAUAUUACACAGUGGGCGGGAGCCUGAUGCGGCGGCGCCGCGUGCGGGAUGACGGCCUUCGGGUUGUAAACCGCUUUCGCCUGUGACGAAGCGUGAGUGACGGUAAUGGGUGAAGAAGCACCGGCUAACUACGUG
rnacentral:rRNA from 1 species